rnacentral:rRNA from 1 species
UACGUAGGGUGCAAGCGUUAAUCGGAAUUACUGGGCGUAAAGCGUGCGCAGGCGGUUUUGUAAGUCUGACGUGAAAUCCCCGGGCUCAACCUGGGAAUUGCGUUGGAGACUGCAAGGCUAGAAUCUGGCAGAGGGGGGUAGAAUUCCACGUGUAGCAGUGAAAUGCGUAGAGAUGUGGAGGAACACCGAUGGCGAAGGCAGCCCCCUGGGUCAAGAUUGACGC